rnacentral:tRNA from 1 species
GGCCCGGUAGUACAGUUGGUUAGUACGCCAGCCUGUCACGCUGGAGGUCAGGGGUUCGAGC